GCUUUGUUUACCUAAUCAAGCCUGGGCAAUGGCGGGCGCCCCUCCCCCCGCCUCGCUGCCGCCUUGCAGUUUGAUCUCAGACUGCUGUGCUAGCAAUCAGCGAGAUUCCGUGGGCGUAGGACCCUCCGAGCCAGUUCCCGAGAGAUCCCAUGAUCCAGAGACAAAGGUGGCAGCUUUGGAGCAAGUGGAGAGCCAGAAAAGGAUCCAGAACUGGAGUGGAAGAACAGCUGCUCUCUAGCCUACUUCAUUGACAGCACCAGCCAAGUGAAUAGGUCAGAGAAGAGAGAGACAGAGUCUCGCUAUGUUGCCCAGGCUUGUCUUGAACUCCUGCCUUCAAGCAAUCCUCCCACCUCAGCCUCUCAAAGUGCUGGCAUUACAGCUGAAGCUAUGCCAUCUUUUAUGUCUGAUGAGGCAGUUUCAUCUGAUUUGAAGAUGAUGAAGAAAAGUUCUUUGCAAGGUUGCUUAUUGAAUAUUACUGGGAAAACAGGAAAAUUAGGAGGAAUGUUCUGGAGUGAUUUAUCUUUUUCAUCA
rnacentral:lncRNA from 1 species